CUGAGUUCAUGCCCUUACGGGUAGAUCUCCCACCCUUGAAUAUCUAAACCUUUGUUGCUUUGGCGGGCCGCUUCGGCUACCGGCUCCGGCUGGUGAGUGCCGCCAGAGAACCUUAAACUCUGAAUUACAGUGUCGUCUGAAGUACUAUAAAAUAGUUA
rnacentral:misc_RNA from 1 species